UGAAAAUGCAAGGUAAACUCUGUACCGUUUAAAAUUUGUGAUAAAAAGUUUUGCUCCAUUUCAAAAACAAUGCAAGGCUUGUAACCCAUUCCCGGUUUGAAUUUUGAAUAUGCAUUUUUUUUUUCCUUUUUGAAAAAAUGCAAGGCUAACCCUGUACUGUUUGUCAGAGUUGAGCCAGAUUAAGUUGUAUAUACAUUUAGUAUGUACAAACUUUCCCAGUUUUGCUUGUUGUAGCAAAAGUUUGUUGCACUUGAUUUUUUUUUUCUGGCUGUAUUUCUGCAAGCGUUGAAUAUUCAAUUAAGGCUAAGAAGUCCUUAAAUUUGCAUUUGAAGUAGCAUCUAGGGCUGUAGAAUUUGGACCAUACAGCAAAGACUUCAGAGGGUAGUACACACAAUGAGAUUGGAAUGUAGACAAUUAUUGGGUGGGGCCUUUUGUAGUUCCAUGUGUGCAUUGGGGUGUGAAGCAGUGGCGUGUACAUCAGUGUGCCUUGCACAUCUACCCAUUCAGUUGUGUGGCUGCCUAUUGCUGUUGCAACAUUCGCUAGUGGUCAAGCUCUGUCCAGUUCUAGCAAGCGCACUUCAUUUCCAUCAGAGCUUUGGGUUUUGCCAAAAUGUGUGUUAUCUAGUUCUGCUUGCUACACAAGUAUUGGUCUUCAGACUCCUCAGUUUGACUCUGUGACUGGUGAUGGACUGCAGGCAACGAUGGAGGCCACAUAUCUGUCCAUAGUCUCCUUAAUAAGUGGCGGUUAACUACAAGGUGGCUGUGCGGUUGACUACCGGAUGUGUCUCGUCUCAGUACAUGGAUGGUGGAGACGCUCUGUAAGCCGACGUGUGUAUGGCUAAUGGCUGAUGUGGGCGUGGCUUCUCUACUUGUGGGCGUGGCUACUCUGUGUGCGUUUACAGUUAAGCAUGUUCUGCACAUCCGAAGUGGACACAAGAGCCGAUGCAAGAUAGCAGAUUGAACAUUUGAUGCACGAUAGCAGAUUGACAUUUGAUGUAAGAUAGCAGAUUGAACAUUUGGUGGAGGCUUUACUUUAUUUUAGUGGCAUAUUUUGAAGUGUUUUGCCUUAUUGUAAUAUUUUGCCUGUGUCACUGGCAUAAUUCAAUGGCUAAGCCUUGGUGGCGAAAUUGGAUAUUUUGGUGAGAUUUGCCUUGGUGGCAAUUUUAAUUGGAUUGUGCCUUGGUGGACCUUUCUGGCCAAGUAAAAUGAAUAUCAUUGGUGCGUUAGUUUAUAUUUGGAUUUCGUUGGUUUAUUAAUGGUGUUUAGUUGAUUGCAUAUUUGGUUCACCUGUUAUGUCUUUUGAACACGGAGAAGAAAAUUGUAACAGACAUUUUAAUAUCAAGGAGAAAUGUAACUGAAUGUAAAUCACUGUUUUUGGCAGUGUCAAUUGGUAGAGAUGAAUUGGACACUUGAUUUUAGCUGAGUAUGUUUGCUGACAGUUCUCACACCAUUUUGAAUAAAGAAUACACAUUGUUUUUGUCCUUUUGAAUGUUGAAAAUUUGUUGUUUUUUGGUCGUUUUGUGAUAAAAUGAUAUAGAAACGAUUUGAUUUUUGGAUGAAAAUUUGUUGGUUAUUGUUUCCCUUUUUGAUAAAAAUGCAAUGCUAACCCCUUAACUGUUUGAAUUUUGGCUAAACAUUUGUUAACCUGUAACCGUUAUGAAAUUGUGAUAAUAAUUUAGAUUUUUCUACAAUCUGAUAAAAAUGUGUUAUCCCUUGCUAUGUUGAGUUUGUGAUAAGAACUGAAAUGUUGCCUCGUUGAAAUAAAAAUACAAGGUUUAGGCCUACCCCUUACCUUGUUAAAAUUAGGAUAAAAAUUUGGUUUUUUUAAACGCUUUUUGAUAAAAAUGCCAGGCUAUAAACUGUGUCUGUUUUGAAAUGUGAAUCAAAAUGCCCUUGCCAUUUUAAAUGUGUGAUAAAAACUGAACUUUUGCACCAUGUUGAUAAAAAUGCAAGGCUAAACCCUUUUUGAUAAAAAUGCUAGGCUAUAAACCUGUUAGUGUUAUGAAAAUUGAAUAAAAAUCCCGUUACCAUU
rnacentral:lncRNA from 1 species